CACGUAGGGCGCGAGCGUUGUCCGGAAUUAUUGGGCGUAAAGCGCUCGUAGGCGGCCUGUUGCGUCCGCUGUGAAAGCCCGGGGCUUAACCCCGAGCCUGCAGUGGAUACGGGCAGACUAGAGGUAGGUAGGGGAGAAUGGAAUUCCCGGUGUAGCGGUGAAAUGCGCAGAUAUCGGGAGGAACACCGGUGGCGAAGGCGGCUCUCUGGGACGGUACUGACGCUGAGACGCGAAAGCGUGGGGAGCGAACAGG
rnacentral:rRNA from 1 species